GCCAAAAGAUAAAAACAAGCAAGAAAGCAAACAAAUAAAAGUAACAACAAAAUUUAAGAACCCCUUGCAUGGAAGGAUGCUUAUUUCCUCUGGACUGAAAGAUGGCAUCAGAAGUGGGAUCUAAAGUAAAGCUUCUAACAAUCCCCAUGAGCACUGAGUGACCAAGCAAGGUACACGCCAGGCCUGUUCUGUCUGUUGCUCUCACAGAGGAGCUGGGGAUCGUGGAGGUUCAUGACAGGAUGAAAAGAAACCUGAGAAGCACUCUUGAAGAGAGGUUUCUGAAUAACUUUCGAAUCAUAUCAUUUGGACUGGAUAACAGUGUUGAGGCAGAGAAGUUUCAUAAUCUGCCUAAGAUCAUUGCAUUUACAAGUGACGAACCCACUGCACAAAUUUUGGCAAUGACAGAAACUUCAUCUGCAUUGGCUUCGGCAAAGCAGAAAUUUAUUAGCUUACAAGGGAGAGUGGAUUGUCAUUGAGACAUAUGUUCUGCUUACGUGGAGAGUAACUUGAGCAACGUUACCCACCUCUAUGUGGAAACACAGGUUUAUUUAGUAUGUUGAAAUUCCAGACAUAACUAUCUGUUCAGUAGCAGUGGUUCCUAUAAGACAACAACUUCACUGUUCAUUUUGUGCUAGUAGAAUGGAACUUCACGGACCUUGGAGAAGCAUACUCCAAACACUACAAAUGAUGGUUAUACUUUGGAGAGAUGCUAAGACAGCAGAUGCUAAAAUCCAGAUACCUUUUGUGAAUAUGAGGCAUAUCUACUGGGAACACAUCAUAAUAAUCUGUUGAGGUAAACAUUAAAGAUGGUGGCAAUAAGCAGUUGGAGAAAAAGAAAAAUAUCAACAUGCAAGGCACCAUUGUUUUCUUGCUUCUUAAUUGUAACUUUUUAUUUUUUGUGUAUAUGGCUAUCACAGAGAUUUAAAAA
rnacentral:lncRNA from 1 species